ensembl:lncRNA
GCAGUGUGACCAGCUACAGGACAUCGCCUUGGUUUUGUUUCACCUAGAGGGGAGUCAAUCAGAAGUUUUUGGGUGGGGCUUGCAGAAAAACGCCAUAAGGGUCUGAUGUAGCUGGAAGGUGUACUGUUUUGUUCACUCUCCCUUUCUUCUUUUUUUCUUCCUGCAGCAUGGAUGUAGAAGCAGGACUUCCAGCAGCCAUCUUGUGACCUUGAGGAUGGAUGCCGUGUGUUAAGCAUGGUGGUGUAGAAAGACAAAAGGGACCCAAAACACUGAUGAUAGCAUUCAUCCAUCACACUAUUUCUGGACUGUCUCCCUCCUGACUUCUCUUACUCAAGAGAAAAGCAAUAUCCAUAUUGGCUUAAUACACUGUUAGCUCACAUCAUUCUUAUCAACAAUCAGAGGCAAUUUUUAACUCAUAGUCCUCUCUAUUGUGGAAUAUACUAUAAUAGGAAGUGACAGAGUUUUUUUUUUUAUCAGGCCACAUUUAUGUAAUAAUUAUUAAAAAGCUCUUUGCUUUAAAAGCAAAGAAACUUUUAUAUGGAAUGCAGGGUUUAGCACAUAGAACAUAUUUUUAGAAAACAAUUGAAUAAACACAGCAGUUAUAUUUUACAGAAACAGAUUUCCAAAUGAUAUGUUCCAGUAUGUGAGGAGGGUUCUACUUGAUAACUACUGAGUCCUGACCAACAAGUGCAAUGAAGAAACUUUGCUUGGACACAACCAAGACCCCUUGGCAAGAGUUACGUGAUAUCUCUGAAGGCAUUACUUUGUUAAAAUUGCAUGGAGAAAAUGAGCCACAAACAAUAUCCACUCCAUCUUUGAGAAUCAGGAGGCCAAUUAAACAUAGUUUCGUUUGGAACUCAAAGGAACAACCCGGGAAGCAUUCUUCUCAGCUGCCUAGCCCCCACUCGGCAUUGUUUCUAGAAGAUGAUGAAUAAACAUCAGGAAAUGGAGAAUCACAAGAAGUCUUCAGCACUCCGUUUGCUCUUUCAUCUAUCAAACCUUUACUGAGCCCUACUCUGGUUUGAGUGUCCACACAUGGGAUAUGGAGCUGCUGGCAUGAGUCCUAGAGAAUCAAGAUUCCCACAUGCUCUGCAGGCAUUGACAGAGGGCCCUGCAAAACUUGAGCUCGAAAUGAAUCAUGAUCAUGCAGCUUGGACGGCCCUGACACUUUGGCAAAGGAAGAAAGCCCAUCGUUCCACUCCACAUCCGCUGAAGUUGGGUCUUUGCUACUUUAGAGAGCAUUUGUUCUUUUGUAUUCUCCAGGCACAAGAGCGUUUGGAUUCUGGUCCUCUGUGAACAUUUCUGUCCAUAUUUGAAGCAUUCUGAAAGAGGCUGACUCUCAAUAGGCACUAAAAGGAUAAGGACAGACAGACAGAGGGACAGACAUACAAUGAAAUACCUGACCACUGCUCUUCAAAUCUGUCAAGGUCAUGGAAGACAUUAAAGGACCAAGAAAUUGUCACCCAUUGGAGGAGACCAAGCAGGAACAACAUCUAAAGCAAUAUGUGGGAUCCUAGAACAGAAAAGGGGUAUUGGUGGAAAAACUGGGUUAAGUCUCUAAGUUAACAGUUUAGUUAAUAGUAUUGCGUCCCUGUCAAUCUGUUAUUUUGAUAUCAUGGUUAUGUAAGAUGUUGCAUUAGAAGACAUUGGGUGAAGAGUAUAUGGGAAUAUCCUAUAAUGUCUUUGCAAAUCUUGUUUAAAUAAAAAAAUUAUCUCUAUAUAAAAAAAACUAAAAAUAAUAAAAACAUGAGUAUCUAUUUUCCAAGAA